GCAGACACAUUCCUGCCAAUCAGCAGCAGACCCUCCCUCCCAGACCCUCCCACCUCCUGGACAGCUCACUAAGAAUGCAGCUUCAAAAUGGAUGCUGUCCAGGAGGUGGGAGGGUCUGGGAGGGAGGGUCUGCUGCUGAUUGGCUGGAAUGUGUCUG